AUUGAACGCUGGCGGCAUGCCUUACACAUGCAAGUCGAACGGCAGCACGGGGGCAACCCUGGUGGCGAGUGGCAAACGGGUGAGUAAUACAUCGGAACGUGCCCAGUCGUGGGGGAUAACUACGCGAAAGCGUAGCUAAUACCGCAUACGAUCUAUGGAUGAAAGCGGGGGACCGCAAGGCCUCGCGCGAUUGGAGCGGCCGAUGGCAGAUUAGGUAGUUGGUGGGGUAAAGGCCUACCAAGCCGACGAUCUGUAGCUGGUCUGAGAGGACGACCAGCCACACUGGGACUGAGACACAGCCCAGACUCCUACGGGAGGCAGCAGUGGGGAAUUUUGGACAAUGGGCGCAAGCCUGAUCCAGCCAUUCCGCGUGCAGGAUGAAGGCCCUCGGGUUGUAAACUGCUUUUGUACGGAACGAAACGGCGCCGGCUAAUACCUGGCGCUAAUGACGGUACCGUAAGAAUAAGCACCGGCUAACUACGUGCCAGCCGCCGCAGUAA
rnacentral:rRNA from 1 species